GAGAUGCUGCAGAAGAUGCAUAAUAGAGAAAAGCAUGUUAUGAGAGGGAUUCAGACUCUGCUCUGAGAUAAAGAUGUUCCUUCCAAUCGAAGAAAGAAAGGCACAAGAACCAUGGACAAGAUCAGAGAAAACAUGUCAGGUCAAAUUCAGAAUUAAGUCCCCAUGGAGAGGAAAAAGUUCUUAAUCUAUAAAUCCAUUUUGCUUCCUCUUGCAAUAAAAGUUUCUGGACAUUGACCCUUGUAUGUAGCUUGUGUUGAUAUUUGAAUAAAACACAAAAUUUAAA